UUUAUGUUACUUGAGGUGUGAUAGUAUACUUAUAAUUUUUUUAUUCUUUUAUUUUUUAUUUUUAUUUUUGCGCGUUGCCUUGCUCAGAGGAGUCUAGGCUCCAAGACACCUUGGCAACUUAGCGGCCUUGAGCCUUUAAUAACUAUGACCUAUAUAAUACUUUCCUGAUAUGCUUCAAGGAAGGGCAAGCAGGAAGUGGAGGGUUGAAUGAACCCUAAUUGCCCUCAUUAUGUGCAAGUACCCAACUAUUAGGCUGCCAGGCCAGUGUCAAAUAGAAACUUUGGAGACACAAGUAGAAACUUUUAUUCUCUGUUCCAGUUUUUAGACUUUCUAAUUUGUUUUUAGCUUUUAAUAAUCCAUGAACCUUGUCAACAUUUCGUGCAUGCCACUAUAAUUUUCUGAAUGUCCUGUAUCAUAUGGAUGAAUUUUACAAUUUACAAUAUGGUGACCUUGACAGUUAGCCUGGUUUGGCAACAUGUUACAUUUAUUGUCAAUUAAUUGUUCUUUUCCCCUUACUCAAGGGAAAUUGGGGAAUAUUCCUUUGUGCAAGGGCAUUGAAAAUGCAAUACUAUACUUAAGAAGCUCCUUUUAGAGUGAUAGUUAAUGGGUGGCCUAAAUGGCUAAUCUAUUUUGCAAAUUAUUUAUAACCAUAUUUUCCUGUCAUUGUUCUCCUCACCAUCUGAUUUCUUUCUUCUUCUGACAUACCAGUCAACGCAAGGAAUGCGUUCAUC
rnacentral:misc_RNA from 1 species